GUAUUAUUUAAAUCAGUCACGUAACUUGGUUCUAACUCAAUUCUCUGGGAACUUAAGAAAUCAGCAUGUGCAAGAGUGUCAAAUAUAAAAUGGGCCCUACAUGCAGAUUAGGUUGCUCAUUUUUCUUUUGUAAUCGUUUUUCUGUGGUGAUCUGGGAAUGCAGAGAGACUUAAAAAGUCGCAGUUGCAGCAGUGGCAGAACUUUUGUUUUGAUUGUCAACUCUGUGCUUGUGUUUCCUUAAGCCUAGUCUGUUCAGAUAAUUACAGCAUCUUCCAAAGUCAGAGCCACAGGCAGUGGCCCAAAGCACCAGACUGAUUACUGGUCUCUUCCAACAGAAAGGCUCAGGCUCUGCCACAUACAGACAGAGCUAUGCAUUCUAUUCUAAGCCAUGAUAGUUGUCGGGCGUUCUGGGGGCAGGAAGCAGUAUCUCUGUGUGUAUGUCCUGUGUAUUCUUGGUCUCCUCUCUGCUGGCGGGCCUCCUCCACCUCCCACUCCCAGGCCUUCCUUCCUCAUACUCACUGUCUCAUCAUGGUCCAGCCCGACUCUCUACGACCUCUUGGUUCUGUGCCCACACUUGCAGCAACUUCCUCUGUCUCUUUAAUUCAUAUUGCUGAAAACAAGAUAAUUCACUUGUCCCACUUGACUUUUCAAGCCAU
rnacentral:lncRNA from 1 species